rnacentral:rRNA from 1 species
GACAGAGGAUGCAAGCGUUAUCCGGAAUGAUUGGGCGUAAAGCGUCUGUAGGUGGCUUUUUAAGUCCGCCGUCAAAUCCCAGGGCUCAACCCUGGACAGGCGGUGGAAACUACCAAGCUGGAGUACGGUAGGGGCAGAUGGAAUUCCGGGUGUAGCGGUGGAAUGCGUAGAGAUCCGGAAGAACACCGGUGGCGAAGGCGGUCUGCUGGGGUCGAACUGACGCUGAGGCGCGACAGCGUGGGGAGCAAACAGG